GGAUUAGAUACCCUAUUAUAUUUUUAAUUUAGUGUGUAGAAAAAAUAAAUAAAAAAUAUGGCGGUUUCUUAUUCUUACUAGAGGGGUAUGUUAUUAAUAAAUAACGAAACUGCGCGACUAUCUGUCCUAAUUGAGUAAAUAAGCAUUUUGUACACCGCUAUCUGAAAAGGAAUUUUAGGGGAUUUUUUUUGAUCAGUUUUUUCGAAGUAAGGUAAGUUAAGGUGCAGAUUAUGGUUAGGGAAUAAUGUACUCCAUUAAGAAAGAUGGAAAAUUUUUGUAAUUUUCUUUGAAAAAAGAAUUUAGAAGUAAAGGUAGUUAACUAUACUGUUUUGAAUAUAGUAAAAAGAAGUGUACACAUCGCCCGUCGCUC
rnacentral:rRNA from 1 species